UCUCACCAUUUCACUUAUUGCGCUAGUGAAUUUGAGUCUUCCGCAUUUUAUUGCAUUUACAAUACGGUCGUCAAAUUUGUCUCUAACUUCGAUUUUUGGAAAGCAGUUUUCGACAGUUUUUGGACGUGAAGUGAAUUAAUCGGUAGUGAAGAUUGAAUAAAAAGGUGAAACUCAGUUAGUGAAUAUGUUUUAGGAGUGAUUAAAUCAAGGAAACAGUGGGAAAAGAUCAAGUGAAAAAUCAAGUGCGUGUGUAUGUGUUUGCUCCGAACGUUCGGAGUUAGUAUGCGUUCGAUAAAAAUACGAAUGCCGGCCCAGGAAAAAAGGCAGUUUUCAGCGUUUUUCCUGCAAUUCCUCAGUAAUUGUUAAUUUGGAUGAGUGAAAAAUUAAUAUGAAAAUGUAAUGAAUAUGCAAUGAUGGAGCCCAUUACCCGGAAACCCGAAUGAAUGCCCGUGUGUAUCCCCAAGCCCGGCCCAGUUCCGCACAUCACAUAUGCUCGGACCCAAUGGUGAACGAAAACUUUCCCACUCACAACCACACAAACGGAGACUUAUGUCGUCCCAUUGGGAGUUCCAAUCUCCGGCAUCUUCCCUCAGCACUUCGCCACCGCACCGCAGCCUCCUCGACGAUAGUCAACAACACCGGCACCGAUGGAGAUGAUCUGACAUAUCCGGCUCCACUGGAGUCAGAGCCGGUCGGGUUACGGGCCAAGACGACAAACAGUUUUACAGCAAUAAUCAAAAAGUCGAAGUGCAAAACAUGACGGGAAGCACCGACAAAAAGAGCGCGCGCGUGGAGGCACCCCGAAAAAAAACAGGAAAAAACUUGUUGGUUAACAUGGUUUUCUGUGCUCUUCAUAAUUGAAAAUCUCUGUAGCGCAACAGAGCGAAAGCAGCUUAUGUGAGACGGGGGCGGUGGAAAGCAGGUUCCGCAGCAGCAAAGCACCCAGCCAGUUAGAACUUUACCAACCCCUCCGAUUUGCCGAGUAAUGUCGCAUUUUUUCUCGUCUGUCGCUCCGAGAUUUUAAAUUACGGAUGAUAAGGGUUGCAGUUUCGUGGAAAUAUAAAUAUAGGAAGGUUUUCCGUGAAAGUUAUAGAAAAUGUCAAACAUCACAAGGCAUGAAGCUUCAAUCAAUUAUUCCAUCAAUCAAUCAA